rnacentral:lncRNA from 1 species
CCCUGUUUGGUGGUGCGGAUCACCUUGCCUUCGUUAUCGUGGACACUGAAAUUAACCUUUUGUCGUGAUUUGGCAGCACAUUAACAUUUGCUUUAGUUCUGUCUGACUAGGAUGCGUGUACAUGACCGUGAAUCAGAGAUCUACCGGCAUUGUGUUUAAGUGGAGUUACUCAUGUUUGAAUACUUCACGAAACAAGGUUCCAUCCAUACAAGAAAAUAAAAGCAGGUCUCCUAGGGGCUAGGGCAACAUCAACGGGGCAUGCCCAAAAGGAAGCCAAAGGAAAGAGACCUACGGCCAACUACUCGAGUCCCGCGUUGGGUAAAUAAAUCAC